rnacentral:piRNA from 1 species
UAUAAGUCUGUGUGACAGGAUUGUUGUA